UGCAUCGAUGAAGAACGUAGCGAAAUGCGAUACGUAGUGUGAAUUGCAGAAUUCCGCGAAUCAUCGAGUCUUUGAACGCAAGUUGCGCCCGAGGCUUGUCCGAGGGCAUUUCCGCUAGAGCGUCACCGCGCCCCCCACCGAUCCACUCUCGCCGCGAGGCGCCAGUCGGGUCGAGUGCAAGUGGCCGUCCCGGUGAAGUGGCCUCCUUUGACGAGGAGGCUAAGUUACGGGUCGGCUGAAAUGGAUGGAAUUGGGCCGCCGUGGUGACACAGUCCGCGAUCGGGUGAUUUUGUCGCGAGCCUCCUGCGGUGCGGGAGGUUCUUGGUGAAUUUUUCUAAGUGUUGGCUGCGUCCCCCAGUUGGCUCGGGUUACCUCAUGCAGGUCUUGCGCGCCCCCGCGGCGCGCGUCACGCAUCAGACCUCUAAUCGGAA
rnacentral:rRNA from 1 species